rnacentral:rRNA from 1 species
GGAUAACCUACCCUUAGGACCGGGAUAACCUUGGGAAACUGAGGAUAAUACCGGAUAGGCAAUUAUUCCUGGAAUGGUUUUUUGUUUAAAUGUUUUUUCGCCUAAGGAUGGGUCUGCGGCCGAUUAGGUAGUUGGUUAGGUAACGGCUUACCAAGCCAUUGAUCGGUACGGGUUGUGAGAGCAAGAGCCCGGAGAUGGAACCUGAGACAAGGUUCCAGGCCCUACGGGGUGCAGCAGGCGCGAAACCUCCGCAAUGUGAGAAAUCGCGACGGGGGGAUCCCAAGUGCCAUUCUUAACGGGAUGGCUUUUCAUUAGUGUAAAGAGCUUUUGGAAUAAGGGCUGGGCAAGACCGGUGCCAGCCGCUGCGGUAACACCGGCAGCUCUAGUGGUAGCAGUUUCUAUUGGGCCUAAAGCGUCCGUAGCCGGUUUAAUAAGUCUCUGGUGAAAUCCUGUAGCUUAACUGUGGGAAUUGCUGGAGAUACUAUUAGACUUGAGACCGGGAGAGGUUAGAGGUACUCCCAGGGUAGAGGUGAAAUUCUGUAAUCCUGGGAGGACCGCCUGUUGCGAAGGCGUCUAACUGGAACGGUUCU